rnacentral:rRNA from 1 species
UACGAAGGGGGCUAGCGUUGUUCGGAAUUACUGGGCGUAAAGCGUACGUAGGCGGAUUGUUAAGUGAGGGGUGAAAUCCCGAGGCUCAACCUCGGAACUGCCUUUCAUACUGGCAAUCUUGAGUCCGGGAGAGGUGAGUGGAACUCCUAGUGUAGAGGUGAAAUUCGUAGAUAUUAGGAAGAACACCAGUGGCGAAGGCGGCUCACUGGCCCGGUACUGACGCUGUGACGCGAAAGCGUGGGGAGCAAACAGG